CCCUUAGAUGUUCUGGGCCGCACACGCGCUACACUGAAGGAGGCAGCGUGUACUCCUGGAUCGAAAGAUUUGGGUAACCCGCGAAUCUCCUUCGUGCUAGGGAUUGAGGUUUGCAAUUAUCCUUCAUGAACGAGGAAUUCCCAGUAAGUGCAAGUCAUAAGCUUGCGCUGACUACGUCCCUGCCCUUUGUACACACCGCCCGUCGCUACUAUUGAUUGAAUGAUUUAGUGAGGACUUCGGACUGGGACCGAUGCGGCUUUCGGGCUGCGUCGGUAUUCUGGAAAGAUGUCCAAACUGUAUCAUUUAGAGGAAGUAAAANUCGUAACA
rnacentral:rRNA from 1 species